rnacentral:rRNA from 1 species
GACGAACGCUGGCGGUGUGCUUAACACAUGCAAGUCGAACGGUAAGGCCCUUUCGGGGGUACACGAGUGGCGAACGGGUGAGUAACACGUGAGUAACCUGCCCUCAUCUCUGGGAUAACAGUCGGAAACGGUUGCUAAUACUGGAUAUGAGCUUGCAAGGCAUCUUGUGGGUUGGAAAGAUUUUUUUUGUUGGGGAUGGACUCGCGGCCUAUCAGCUUGUUGGUGAGGUAGUGGCUCACCAAGGCUUCGACGGGUAGCCGGCCUGAGAGGGCGACCGGCCACAUUGGGACUGAGAUACGGCCCAAACUCCUACGGGAGGCAGCAGUGGGGAAUAUUGCACAAUGGACGGAAGUCUGAUGCAGCAACGCCGCGGGCGGGAUGACGGCCUUCGGGUUGUAAACCGCUUUCAAUUGUGACGAAGCUUUUUGUGACGGUAGCAGUAGAAGAAGCACCGGCUAACUACGUG